rnacentral:rRNA from 1 species
ACGGGUGAGUAACACGUAGGAACCUGCCCAGUAGAGUGGGACAACCAGAGGAAACUCUGGCUAAUACCACAUAGACUCGGGAGAGGAAAGCUGCCGAAAGGUAGCGCUAUUGGAGGGGCCUGCGUCCGAUUAGCUAGUUGGUAGGGUAAAGGCCUACCAAGGCGAAGAUCGGUAACUGGUCUGAGAGGACGACCAGUCACACUGGGACUGAGACACGGCCCAGACUCCUACGGGAGGCAGCAGUGGGGAAUCUUGGACAAUGGGGGCAACCCUGAUCCAGCGAUGCCGCGUGGGUGAAGAAGGCCUUCGGGUUGUAAAGCCCUUUAGGUUGGGAAGAAGGUUGAGUACGGAUAAUGUACUUAAUUUGACGGUACCGACAGAAUAAGCACCGGCAAACUCUGUGCCAGCAGCCGCGGUAAUACAGAGGGUGCGAGCGUUAAUCGGAAUUACUGGGCGUAAAGGGCGCGUAGGCGGAUGUAUGAGUGUGAUGUGAAAGCCCUGGGCUUAACCUGGGAAGUGCAUCGCAAACGAUAGAUCUGGAGUACAAGAGAGGGUGGCGGAAUUUCCGGUGUAGC